rnacentral:rRNA from 1 species
GMAGACGAACGCUGGCGGCGUGCUUAACACAUGCAAGUCGAACGAUGAACCUCCUUCGGGAGGGGAUUAGUGGCGAACGGGUGAGUAACACGUGGGCAAUCUGCCCUUCACUCUGGGACAAGCCCUGGAAACGGGGUCUAAUACCGGAUACGACACGGGGUCGCAUGACCUCCGUGUGGAAAGCUCCGGCGGUGAAGGAUGAGCCCGCGGCCUAUCAGCUUGUUGGUGGGGUGAUGGCCUACCAAGGCGACGACGGGUAGCCGGCCUGAGAGGGCGACCGGCCACACUGGGACUGAGACACGGCCCAGACUCCUACGGGAGGCAGCAGUGGGGAAUAUUGCACAAUGGGCGAAAGCCUGAUGCAGCGACGCCGCGUGAGGGAUGACGGCCUUCGGGUUGUAAACCUCUUUCAGCAGGGAAGAAGCGAGAGUGACGGUACCUGCAGAAGAAGCGCCGGCUAACUACG